rnacentral:rRNA from 1 species
UACGUAGGGACCAAGCGUUGUCCGGAAUCAUUGGGCGUAAAGAGCGUGUAGGCGGUCCGGUAAGUCGGCUGUGAAAGUCCAGGGCUCAACCCUGGGAUGCCGGUCGAUACUGCCGGACUAGAGUUCGGAAGAGGCGAGUGGAAUUCCCGGUGUAGCGGUGAAAUGCGCAGAUAUCGGGAGGAACACCUAUGGCGAAGGCAGCUCGCUGGGACGUUACUGACGCUGAGACGCGAAAGCGUGGGGAGCAAACAGG